CAGAACUAGAAGGCCUUGAUCCUACAAAAACUAGUUAACAGCUAGCCGCCCAAACCAGCGGGCAUUAAUUCUUUUAGCCCUUAAAU
rnacentral:tRNA from 1 species